GUACAUGGUGGAUGCCUUGGCAGUCAGAGGCGAUGAAGGACGUACUAACCUGCGAUAAGCCGUGAGCAGUCGGUAAGAGACAUUACGACUCACGGAUUUCCGAAUGGGGAAACCCACUUAGCAUAAGCUAGGUAUCGCUGCGUGAAUACAUAGCGUAGCGAGGCGAACCGGGAGAACUGAAACAUCUAAGUACCCCGAGGAAAAGAAAUCAACCGAGAUUCCCUCAGUAGCGGCGAGCGAACGGGGAUUAGCCCUUAAGCAUCUUGGAAGUUAGUGGAACGGUCCUGGAAAGGCCGGCGAUACAGGGUGAUAGCCCCGUACACGAAAACAACCUUGAUGUGAAAUCGAGUAGGGCGGGACACGUGACAUCCUGUCUGAAUAUGGGGGGACCAUCCUCCAAGGCUAAAUACUCCUGACUGACCGAUAGUGAACCAGUACCGUGAGGGAAAGGCGAAAAGAACCCCUGUGAGGGGAGUGAAAUAGAACCUGAAACCGUGUACGUACAAGCAGUGGGAGCCCUUCGGGUGACUGCGUACCUUUGUAUAAUGGG
rnacentral:rRNA from 1 species